ACAUUUUUGAACACAGGCUCCCACCUUCAACUUAUCACUUCCUUACCUUUGCUGGGGUACCUGAUGACUUUAAAGAGACUGUUUCUUUGGAGAAGGUGGAAUACGCUUAAAGAUUGGUCUUGCCUUUAAAACACCAUUUUAAAAGAGACCAUUUGUUAGUGCCUGAAAUCUGUAACUGGCUUAAAAGCUCUGUCAGCUGGAAAGGAACCUGUCAGUGUGAUAAUGGAAAAGAAGAAGAUACAUCAGAGAGAGACAGAGGGUGAAAAUACCAAGGAUAGAGCAAGUCUGACAAACUCACGUUGAAUAACAAGAUCUUCAUGGCCUGGAUCCCUGAAAGACUGUGUGGAACAGAGCCCCUUGACAACCUGAAACCCCUACCUUCAUUCAGAUUGUUGUCAGGAUUUGCAAGUUAGAAAGCAUCAUUUUCGACUGGCCCUUCUCUGUUCUCCCACCAGCUCUUCUGAGGAUUAAAGGAGGUAACUUAAGAAGAAGAGUUAAUGAGAAAAUGUCCAGUCUGAAGGAAAAAAGUGUAAGAAAUGAUUCCCAAAUGUGAACACAUAGAAACCAUAUGAUAGUUCUUCUUAAAUAGUAGAAAGUACUUUUCUAAAAUGUUA
rnacentral:lncRNA from 1 species